rnacentral:rRNA from 1 species
UACGUAGGGUGCGAGCGUUGUCCGGAAUUACUGGGCGUAAAGAGUUCGUAGGCGGUUUGUCGCGUCGUUUGUGAAAACCCGGGGCUCAACUUCGGGCUUGCAGGCGAUACGGGCAGACUUGAGUGUUUCAGGGGAGACUGGAAUUCCUGGUGUAGCGGUGAAAUGCGCAGAUAUCAGGAGGAACACCGGUGGCGAAGGCGGGUCUCUGGGAAACAACUGACGCUGAGGAACGAAAGCGUGGGUAGCAAACAGGAUUAGAAACCCUCGUAGUCC